rnacentral:misc_RNA from 1 species
GCCUUUAUGUUCAUAACGACGUCAUGCUUGCUUUUGGUACUCCAGAAAAGCAAAUCUUGAUCGAACCUAUAUUUGCUCAAUGGAUACAAUCGGCUCAUGGUAAGACGACAUAUGGGUUCGAUAUACUCUUAUCUUCAACGAGCGGUCCCGCUUUCAAUGCGGGUCGAACCCUAUGGUUACCCGGAUGGUUGAAUGCUGUUAACGAGAAUAGUAAUUCGCUUUUCUUAACAAUAGG